rnacentral:tRNA from 3 species
GCGUCUGUAGCUCAGCGGUAGAGCGCCAUUCUUAUAAAAUGGAUGUCGAUGGUUCGAUUCCAUCCAGACGCACUA